rnacentral:tmRNA from 1 species
GGGGGCGAUCUGGUAUCGACCGGGUAAGAUGAGGCGUUAGUGGCGUGUCGUGGUUGACUAGAUGGCCACGUAAAAAUCUAGUCACACUUUAACUGCUGAACCGCAGUUCUCCAUGGCUGCCUAGAGAUAGGCAACCCCGAGUCCGGGACCUUUGCCUGAGAGGUUUCGGCUUGGUCGCUAAGUCAGGCUCGCUGUUGCCCGAGGCUGACUCUUCGGAGCCGGCCGCACCGGAGGCGGUGACAGCUAAACUUCCUGUCCGGUUAGUCUGACCUGGACCCUGCUUGCCGGGGACGGGUUGGGCGAACAGGGUGAGCGGGGCCGCAAGGUCCCGGCCGCCGAAACAAGACAAGCUACACACGUAGAAGCGAACGCUGAAGUACCUCGGGACGCGGGUUCGAUUCCCGCCGCCUCCACUU